UACGUAGGUGACAAGCGUUGUCCGGAUUUACUGGGCGUAAAGAGCGCGCAGGCGGUCGUUCAAGUCGAGUGUGAAAGCCCCCGGCUCAACUGGGGAGGGUCACUCGAUACUGAUCGACUCGAAGGCAGGAGAGGGUAGUGGAAUUCCCGGUGUAGUGGUGAAAUGCGUAGAUAUCAGGAAGAACACCCGUGGCGAAGGCGGCUCUCUGGGACGGUACUGACGCUGAGACGCGAAAGCGUGGGGAGCGAACAGG
rnacentral:rRNA from 1 species